GAGUGAUACAAUUCUGUGUACCCUAUUAUUAAAGGGAGCGUCUCAUAGCAGAAAAGGAGCACCUAAGAAUUAUCGGGAGAUACACCGUACAGAGAGGACGCAGCCCUCCAUGCACAGCUGGGAGAUACAGACCGUCUCUGACCUCUGGUUCCACGGCUAUAAAACAAGGAAAGGCAGCUGAAUUCAAGUCCGAGGGCCUCAUCAUCUUGUCUGUCG
rnacentral:lncRNA from 1 species